AUUGAACGCUGGCGGCAGGCCUAACACAUGCAAGUCGAGCGAGCGGCGGACGGGUGAGUAAUGUCUGGGAAACUGCCUGAUGUAGGGGGAUAACUACUGGAAACGGUAGCUAAUACCGCAUACCAUCAGAUGUGCCCCGAUGGGCUUAGCUAGUAGGUGGGGAAACGGUGCACCUAGGCGACGAUCCCCAGCUGGUCUGGGGGGAGGACCAGCCACACUGGAACUGAGACACGGUCCAGACUCCUACGGGAGGCAGCAGUGGGGAAUAUUGCACAAUGGGCGCAAGCCUGAUGCAGCCAUGCCGCGUGUGUGAAGAAGGCCUUCGGGUUGUAAAGCACUUUCAGCGGGGAGGCGUUACCCGCAGAAGAAGCACCGGCUAACUCCGUGCCAGCCGCCGCGGUAAUAC
rnacentral:rRNA from 1 species